rnacentral:rRNA from 1 species
AACGAACGCUGGCGGCAGGCCUAACACAUGCAAGUCGAACGGACCCUUCGGGGUUAGUGGCGGACGGGUGAGUAACACGUGGGAACGUGCCUUUAGGUUCGGAAUAGCUCCUGGAAACGGGUGGUAAUGCCGAAUGUGCCCUUCGGGGGAACGAUUUAUCGCCUUUAGAGCGGCCCGCGUCUGAUUAGCUAGUUGGUGAGGUAAUGGCUCACCAAGGCGACGAUCAGUAGCUGGUCUGAGAGGAUGACCAGCCACAUUGGGACUGAGACACGGCCCAAACUCCUACGGGAGGCAGCAGUGGGGAAUCUUGCACAAUGGGCGAAAGCCUGACGCAGCCAUGCCGCGUGGAUGAUGAAGGUCUUAGGAUUGUAAAAUCCUUUCACCGGUGAAGAUAAUGACUGUAGCCGGAGAAGAAGCCCCGGCUAACUUCGUGCCAGCCGCCGCCAGUAACAC